UUGAUUGUGGUCUUGUUGUUCGAAUCUUCUAGGGUUCUGCGUGUCUGUGAUUGUGGUUCUGUAAAUGAUUUGUGUUUAUGUUAAUGAGAUGUCUUUUAGAGCUUUCAUUUGUAUUGAUCGUUUGAUCUUCUAGGUGUUGUUGAUGAAGAGCUUUCACGUGUAUUGAUGGGUUGUUGAGAUUGAAUAACUUGUUGAGAUUGAAUCUAACUAUAUUUUAUUUCUUGUUCUUAUUUGUUUAGAUGAGUUGUUGAGAUUGAAUAACUUGUUGAGAUUGAAUCAAGUAUAUUUUAUUUCCUGUUCUUAUUUGUUUAUCAC
rnacentral:lncRNA from 1 species